rnacentral:miRNA from 1 species
UGUGUAUAUGUAUGUAUGGCACAGUGCUUGGUAUAUAGGACAGAAUAUAUAUAUACACACAGACACACAUACACACACAGACACACACACAUACAC